UAGGGAAUCUUCCGCAAUGGGCGAAAGCCUGACGGAGCAACGCCGCGUGAGUGAUGAAGGUCUUCGGAUCGUAAAACUCUGUUAUUAGGGAAGAACAAAUGUGUAAGUAACUAUGCACGUCUUGACGGUACCUAAUCAGAAAGCCACGGCUAACUACGUGCCAGCAGCCGCGGUAAUACAUAGGUGGCAAGCGUUAUCCGGAAUUAUUGGGCGUAAAGCGCGCGUAGGCGGUUUUUUAAGUCUGAUGUGAAAGCCCACGGCUCAACCGUGGAGGGUCAUUGGAAACUGGAAAACUUGAGUGCAGAAGAGGAAAGUGGAAUUCCAUGUGUAGCGGUGAAAUGCGCAGAGAUAUGGAGGAACACCAGUGGCGAAGGCGACUUUCUGGUCUGUAACUGACGCUGAUGUGCGAAAGCGUGGGGAUCAAACAGG
rnacentral:rRNA from 1 species